CUCAUGCUCAACCGUUGCCAGACGGUCACAGUUACGACCAAUAGACAACUUCUGCUUCCCCACCUGCCUGUUACCUACUGAGGAGUAGCACCUAAAGAGAGAAGGAGAGAGAGAGAGACCCACAAAGAAUUAGAAAACAAAUAAACUGCCAUAUCUACUGGGUGAAAUACCAGUGUCCCAUCACAGCAGUAAUAUUUGUGACCUGUUGCCACAAGAAAAGGGAAACCAGUGAAGAACAAACACAUUGACUGCAAGAUUACCUCAAACCGGUGGCAGAGGACGCCUUUUCACACCUCAACAGGAGGAGGCUAUUUGCACCAUGGGAUGAGCAAACAAUGCCAUGAGACUCCGAGAAAUACAAAGGACCAUUAUAGAAGACAACGAUGUCUUUGAAAACAUCCAUACGGUUAGCAUCUCAACCAUCGACCGGGUGCUGUAGAAACCAGAUGACUAUGAAACAGCUGUACCGUGUACCAUUCCAAAGGAAUGAGGACAGAGUUAAGGAGCUACGGUACCAGUAUAUACAGCGUAUAAUGGAGUUGGAAUCAAGUGAACCCUCUCACAACUUUGUAUACGUGGAUGAGGCUGGCUUCAACCUGACCAAAUGCAGAAGACGGGGUCGGAAUAUCAUCAGUCACAGAGCUACUGUGGAUUUGCCAGGCCAACGGGGAGGAAAUAUCACCAUGUGUGCUGCUAUUUCGGAGCAUGGUGUCCUAACCCAUAUCCCCCUUAUAGGGCCAUACAACACCCAGCAUCUACUCAACUUUUUAGAGACUCUCUACAGGGCUCUCAUCCCUGAUGAUGAGAGGGGUCUGUUUAGAGAGGAUUUGCCAAAGUAUGUUGUCAUUUGUGAUAAUGUGAGUUUCCAUCGAUCAAACAUCAUAAGGCAAUGGUUUGUGACCCACCCGAGGAUGCUCAUACAAUUCCUCCCACCUUAUUCACCAUUCCUUAACCCAAUUGAGGAGUUCUUUUCAGCAUGGAGGUGGAAGGUGUACGAUCGUCAGCCACACACACAGAUGACCCUGCUGGCUGCAAUGGAUGCAACAUGUGAGGACAUCACAGUAGACGCCUGCAGAGGAUGGAUAAGGCAUUCCAAAAGACUCUUUCCACGUUGCAUUGGAAGGGAAAAUAUCCGGUGUGAUGUGGAUGAGAAUAUGUGGGCCGACAGACAGGAACGUCUGGAUGUGUAGACAGCACUAGAACAGUGCUGCGGGCAAAGUUGUGCCUUAGGGGAGGUUUCCUGUGUUUCUUUCUGAUUUAGUUUUUUUUCCUUUGUGCCCCUUGGGUUGUCCAGUCUCUUUCAAUCAAUAACCCACAUACAGUAAUAUGUAAAUAGUAAUGUUGAAAUUGAUAUAUGCCAUAGAAGUGCAGCCUUGUGCAUUUUCAAUACAGUAACUGUCAUCCAAACUGUAGCCUAAGUUUACAUCAGGUAAUACUGUCAAAGUACACAGUUCCAUUGAACACAUGCCUAAACAUUUUGACUCAAUGACUUAUCAUUCUGAUGACACUGACAUGAUCAUUGGCAUGAACAUUUACUUUUGAGAGAUGUAGUAAGGAUUUUUAGUGACUGACUAGCUUUAGAAACACAUCUAUUGUAUAUUGCAGUUUGUACAAAUUGUUCUGAGAAAUGCACUUAUUAUUUUGCACAUGUUAGGGAUGAUGUGAAAAAUGCACCAAAGCGACUGAGAAA